rnacentral:rRNA from 1 species
GUCCACGCCCUAACGAUGUCAACUAGGUGUCGGGAGCGCAAGUUCUUGGUACCGCAGCUAACGCGUGAAGUUGACCGCCUGGGGAGUACGGUCGCAAGAUUAAACUCAAAGGAAUUGACGGGACCCGCACAAGCGGUGGAUGAUGUGGAUUAAUUCGAUGCAACGCGAACAACCUUACCUACCCUUGACAUGUCCAGGAGGCCACUGAAAGGUGGCUGUGCCCGAAAGGGAAUUGGAACACAGGUGCUGCAUGGCUGUCGU